rnacentral:misc_RNA from 1 species
GAUGAAGAACGCAGCGAACUGCGAUAAGUAAUGUGAAUUGCAGAAUUCAGUGAAUCAUCGAGUCUUUGAACGCACAUUGCGCCCCCUGGCAUUCCGGGGGGCAUGCCUGUCCGAGCGUCAUUGCUGCCCUUCAAGCCCGGCUUGUGUGUUGGGUCGUCGUCCCCCCCCGGGGGACGGGCCCGAAAGGCAGCGGCGGCACCGCGUCCGGUCCUCGAGCGUAUGGGGCUUUGUCACCCGCUCGAUUAGGGCCGGCCGGGCGCCAGCCGGCGUCUCCAACCUUUUAUUUUACCAGGUUGACCUCGGAUCAGGUAGGGAUACCCGCUGAACUUAAGCAUAUCAAUAAGCGGAGGA